rnacentral:lncRNA from 1 species
GCAGGGGGGAGACCAGGCGGGGGGGGGGGGGGGGGAGAUUCCUCGGGUCGGGCAAGACAAGACGAACAGAUAGACAGACAAGGGGUCCUCCGGGGAGAGGAGGAAUGAUCGAGGAGGGAACAGGGAGAGGCCUGGGCUGGACUGGGGGGUCCAAGAGGUGCCUGGCCAGCCCCCGACUUCAUCAGGGGCUCCAGAGAUAAAUACUGACCAAGGAAGCAGCACCCCCAGGCCGAGGGAUCCAUGGAGGUGCUCAUGGUGCUCUUUACUCUGCCUUUUUAAAUCCUCCAGUCGAACCCUGGUCAGAGCCGACUGCAGGGGGGUUGCUGGAAUGAAAAGCAACCUCCCGUGAGGCUC